CCAUCCCGUUCCAUUCUGGAACAGAUUGUUCCUUCUGUCAACCCAUUCCACUAAUCUUCAAUCUCUCCCUGUCUAUGGGCUCCUUCUUUCCUGCUGACACACGGGCCCGUGUCUUCCCUAGCCUGAAAAGGCCAUCCCUGGGCCUUCCAUCCCACAUCUCUUCUCCUGUUUGCAGCUAAACUCCCUGACAAGACUCUCCCCUAUUCCCAACUUCCCUAUUAUUGUGGACGGCCUGAAGGUAUCAGAUGAUAAAGACACCAGCCCGUGACCGGGAGGCUGUAACCGUUUCGGGAAUGGCAGUGCAUCCUUUGCCCAGGAGAUCGGGGCGUUUUCUCGGCCUUCCUCGGAGCAGGCUCCCCGGCCUCUCGGCUCGGGGCCCCACCGACCACGUUCCUUGUUGCCCAUAGCAAUAGUGAAUGUACUUCGGAAGGAUUGCCUUUUGAGUUAGUGUCCAUUUGUGCAAGCUGUUCAUACAUACAUGUGUAUAUAGACAUGCGAAUAUGUAUAUAUAAUUGCAUUAAAUAUUUCCCAAUUACAUGUUAAAAA